UACGAAGGGGGCUAGCGUUGCUCGGAAUGACUGGGCGUAAAGGGCGCGUAGGCGGAUGGCACAGUCAGAUGUGAAAUUCCUGGGCUUAACCUGGGGGCUGCAUUUGAUACGUGUGAUCUGGAGUGAGGAAGAGGGUCGUGGAAUUCCCAGUGUAGAGGUGAAAUUCGUAGAUAUUGGGAAGAACACCAGUGGCGAAGGCGGCUCACUGGACCGACACUGACGCUGAGGCGCGAAAGCGUGGGGAGCAAACAGG
rnacentral:rRNA from 1 species